rnacentral:rRNA from 1 species
CAGCCGCCACGGUAAUACGAAGGGUGCAAGCGUUAAUCGGAAUUACUGGGCGUAAAGCGUGCGUAGCGGUUUGUUAAGUCUGUUGUGAAAUCCCCGGGCUCAACCUGGGAAUGGCAAUGGAUACUGGCAAGCUAGAGUGUGUCAGAGGAUGGUGGAAUUCCCGGUGUAGCGGUGAAAUGCGUAGAGAUCGGGAGGAACAUCAGUGGCGAAGGCGGCCAUCUGGGACAACACUGACGCUGAGGCACGAAAGCGUGGGGAGCAAACAGGAUUAGAUACCCCUGUAGUCCCUGUCUCUUAUACC